rnacentral:sRNA from 1 species
AUCCAAUAUUUUCCGGGAAGUUUUGCAAGAAUUUGUGAAACCUUGUCCGUACGAACAGUCAGAUGAUAGCUCAGACGAUGGAAGCAAAAGUGAUGAAGAACUUUUUGUUUCCCGCAAAGAUUCGCCUCGUCAAAAGCAAAAACGGCUGCGAGUACAGUGGGCAGACGAGAGCAGCCAAUCACCUCUCGCCGCGGAACCUUACGAAACACACUCGGCCAGAAUCUUCACCAAAACGGUUCCAAAGCCUAUUCUAAAGUGCAAAUCAAACUACCUCAUCGUGAUGCCCCAGUGAACUGUUUGUGAAGUGAGACGACAUUUCCAAACAUGAUGGACAAUCUCAUCGCCUUCUCUGUUUAAGUCUCGUCGUGAAGAGACUCUCAGAAACUCACCAAGUCAUGGCCGAAAACGAUGACUUCGCUUGACCGGUAAAGGACGAGGGGCGCGGCGGACGCAUUCAGUGACGCUAUCUAUCAGGUGCAAGAGCAAACGCAAUAUUAUCAAUGACUGCAAUUUAUCGUUAAUACUCAAUAUAUUUUGUAUGUAUAUACAUUUAUGUCUGUGCUAUGUACAGCUUUGUAUAACAAUGUUCUUUGUCUUUCACAUGGUGCUACGAACUGCAAUAUAUAAUUAUCGUUUACAUUGUGGAAGAAAUAAAAAUCAUAUAUAUA